rnacentral:lncRNA from 1 species
GUCCUCCACCUCGCUUAUUCGUUCUUCUGCCUCCUGUAUUCUGCUGUUAGCUGCUUCUAGUGAAUUUUUUAUUUCAGUUAUUGUAUUUUGCAUCUCUUCUUGUUUAAGUUUUAUAUCUUGUAUCUCUUUGGUCAGUGUUUCCUGUAAGUUAUCCAUCUUUGCCUCCAGUUUAUUUCCAAUGUCUUGCAUCAUCUUCAGCAUCAACAGUCUAAAGUCUUUUUCCUGGAGGCUGAGAAUCUCCUCAUUGCUUAGCUGAUUUUCUGGGGUUUUUCCUUUCUCCCUCAUCUGAGUUAUAGUUCUCUGUCUUUUCAUUUUUAUAGGUUUUUGGUGUGGUGACCUUUUUACAGAUAAUAGAGUUGUAGCCUCUCUUACUUCUGGUGUCUGCCCCCCUUGUGGCUGAAGUCGGUAUGGGGGCUUGCUGUAGGCUUCCUGAUGGGAGGGGCUGAUGCCUGCCCACUGGUAGGUGGAACUGAUUCUAAUCCCUCUGGUGGGUGGGGUUUAGUCUCUGGAUGAGAUUAGAGGCAGCUGUGUGCCUGAGGAGUCUUUAGGUAGCCUGUUUACUGAGGGGUGGGGCUGUGAUCCUACCUGGAUUGUUGUUUUCCCUAGGGCUUCUCAGCACUGACUGACAGGUGAGGCCAGAUUUUCCCAAAAUGGCCACCUCCAGAGAAAGUUAGCUGCCGAAUAUUCCCAAGAGAUUUGCCUUCAAUGUCCCUCCUUCACAACAAGCCACAUUCACCCCUGUUUUCUCAGGAUGUCCUCCAAGAACUGCAGUCAGGUUUGACCCAGAUUCCCAUGGAGACCUUGCCCUGCCCUGGGAUCCAGUGCACAUGAAAGUCCAUGUGUGCCGUUUAAGAAUGGGGUCUCCUGAAAGCAUUUGAUAUUGGUGUCUCAUUGUAUGGCUGACUUCACUUGGCAUGAUAAUUUCUAGGUCCAUCCAUGUUGCUAAAAAUGCCGGUAUUUCGUUCUUUUUUAAUGGCUGAGUAAUAUUCCAUUGUGUAUAUGGACCACUUCAUCUUGAUCCACUCCUCUGUCGAUGGACAUUUAGGUU